CGAAGACUGGACUCCUUAGCCAUCUUCGUGUUUAAAGGAUGUAGUUGAGGACAUUUAAAAAAAAAAAAGAUCGGUCUCCAUGGCCAUCUUUGCUUAGGUAGAAUAAAAAAUGGACUUGGAUAUUUUUUAGAGAGAAGAUCGGACUCCACAGCCAUCUUCGUACUUAUUGGAAAGGAUAUUGUAUUAUUUUUUAAACAUGAGGAAUUAUAGCUGAGGACUAGAUGUAGUAACAGUCAUCAAUUGAUGUGUUCAUCCAAGACGAAAUAGUUGGUUAUGUCUGUGCAUUUGUAGACAACCCAGCAUACAUUACUAAACUUGAAAAACAGAUAAAGUCCAAAAAUGCUAAAGCAACAGACAACCCAGAUGAAGAUAGAGAGUAAGCUACAUCCUAUUACUCUAGAAAAAGAACAGUCUACAGAUGAAUGGAACUAGCUCCUUUGGGCUUGAAAACUCCAUAUAUAAAAAAAUAUGCAGCAAGUCAGUCUCUCAAGUUAUUUCAAUAGAUCAAGUAGUGGAGCAUACAGAUGGAGUAACAGGCAAGAAGUAGAGAUGUCAAGAACUGUGCAAUCAAGUUGCAGAGCACAAUCGAUCUUUAGCAUACAGCAUACAGUUGAAUGGAACAAUUAUCUACUUAGAACAGUCAAACUAUAGAAGCUACAUGUCCACAAGUUAUUGUUUUUUCC
rnacentral:sRNA from 1 species